AGCUCUUCCGCUUGUUGAUACUUGUUCUGUUUCAGGUAGGCUGAGGCCAGGUUGUUCUUGGUCUUGGCCACGUUGGGGUCAUGGGGCCCGCCCAGUGCCUCAUAGAUGCUCAGGGCCCGGGCAUAGUGCCGCUCCACGUCCUCAAACUUGCCCUGGUUCUGGCACAGCAGGGCCAGGUUGUUGAGCUGCUUGGCCACAUCUGGGUGGUCAGCACCCAGGACCUUCUCUCGGAUCUCCAAAGCGCGCUGGCACAGGGGCUCUGCCUCCCGGUAACGCCCACGCUUCCCAUAGAGGACAGCCAAGUUGUUGAGCGUGGCGGCCACCGCGGGGUGCUCAGGGCCCAGCGUCUGCUCCCGGAUCUGCAGGGCAUCAUGGAGAAGGUCUGUGGCUUCUUUGUACUUGUUCUGGUCCCGGUACACCAGCGCCAGGAUGUUGAGCAUGGUGGCCACGUCAGGGUGGCAGUGGCCCGAGCUGCGCUCCAGGUCCUCCAAGGCCUGGCGGCACAGAGGCACCGCCACCUCAUAGCGGCCCUGCCCCGCGUACUGGAUCACGAGGUUAUGCAGGGUCCGAAGGCGGGCAGGGAUCUCAUAGCCACCCUGCUGAGCAGCUGCUGCUCCUGCGGCCUCAGGACCUUUCCUCUCCUCCUCCUCGCUGGGGAACAGGGAGGCCAGGCUGUCUCGGCGAGGCGGGGACUCAGACUGCUGGCUCUCCGCCGGUGGGUCGUACUGUCGCAGCUGCCCCAGGAACUCCAGGUGGCGCUUCUCCUCCUCCAGCUGGGCCACGGACUCCUCGCUGGCCCGAAGCCGCCGCUGCGUCUCCUCCAGUUCCUCCCGCAGCCACACGUUCUCCUGGGCCAGCCGCCGGGCCUGCGAGCGCAGCCGCUGCUUCUCUGCCUCCAGUGCACCCACAUGUGCCGACAGGGCCAGCAGCACCUGGGCCUCGCCCAGCCCCAGCUCGAUGGCCUCCAGCGAGUGGCUCACCACCUGCUGCUUUUCCUCCAGCAUCUCCAAGCCGGCUGCCGGGCCCUGUCCCGCCAGGGCCUCCGCCAGGUGCCCAGCCAGGCCAUGGUGCUCUGCCCGCAGCGCCUCCAGCCCCUGGACCACUUGCCGCGUCUGCCGCACCAGCUCCUCAGGGCUCAGGCGCUCUGGGCCCAGCCCUGCACUUCCAGGAGCCGCUACCUGCACAGACAUUGCUGCUCCUGUAAUCCCAGGGCUUCAGGAGGAUUGCUGGAGCCUAGGAGUUUGAGACCAACUUGGGGAACAUAGGAUGAACCUAUCUGUGGAGGACGACAAAAUGAUGGGCCUUGAACUUUUGGUGUGGCCAUGUGACUUGCUUUGGCCAAUAGCAGAGGGGCACAAGUGACAGUCGUGUCAGUUCUGAGCUUAGGCCUCAAGAGACCUUGAACAUUUCUUUUUGCAUCUCAGCAUCACCAUGAGACGGGCUUCCCCUGAGAGCUUCCUCUCCCCUCAGCCUGCACUCCACAAGGUUCCCAUAUGAAGCAGAACUUCCCAUCUGAGCCCGGCCUGGAUUGGCCAACUGUCAGCCAACCCCACAUCCAUUUUAGAGCUAUUGACCAGGCAUGGUGGCUCACACCUGUAAUCCCAGCACUUUGAGAGGCCAAGGCAGGAGGAUUGCUUGAGACCAGGAGUUUGAGACCAGCCUGGGCAAUAUAGCAAGAUCCCCAUCUCCACAAAAAAAAAAAAAAGUUAAAAUGAGCCAAGUGUGGUGGCGCACACCUGUAGUUGCAGCUGCUUGGGAGAUUGAGGUGGGAUCCCCAGAGGUCAAGGUUGCAGUGAGCUAUGAUGGCACCACUGUAUUCCAGCUUGGGUGAAAAAGAGUGGGGCAAGAGGUAAGAACCUGUCUCCAAAAUAAAAUUGUACCAAAAUAAAAUGUAAAAAACCAUGAACCAAAAAUAAAAUGUAAAAAAAUAAAAAUAAAAAUAAAAUGGCCAGGCGCAGUGGCUCACGCCUGUAAUCCUGGCACUUUGGGAGACCGAGGUGGGUGGA
rnacentral:lncRNA from 1 species